GGAAAUCUGGGCUGAGGGGGUAGUCAGACCCUAGGAGGCGGAGCUAGUCCACGAGGGGCGGGACCUAUGCCCCCUGAAGGUGAGGCGAGAGCGAAACCGAGGCAAAAUGAGGAAACUGACACACAGAGAAGUCAAGGGAUUCAUCUGAGAUGAGAAAGCCAAGACUUGAACUCAGAUAUCAAGGCUGCCUCAGGAGAGAAACUGGAC